rnacentral:tRNA from 1 species
ACCUAGCUGGUUCAGUCGGUAGAGCAUGUGACUAUUGAUCUUGGAGUUGUGAGUUUGAGUCCCAUGUUGGGUG